UGGGGAAUAUUGCACAAUGGGGGAAACCCUGAUGCAGCGACGCCGCGUGAGCGAUGAAGGCUUUCGAGUCGUAAAGCUCUGUCCUAUGGGAAGAUAAUGACGGUACCAUAGAAGAAAGCCCCGGCUAAUUACGUGCCAGCAGCCGCGGUAAUACGUAAGGGGCGAGCGUUGUCCGGAAUUAUUGGGCGUAAAGGGUACGUAGGUGGUUUUUUAAGUCAGGUGUCAAAGCGUGGAGCUUAACUCCAUUAAGCACUUGAAACUGAAAGACUUGAGUGAAGGAGAGGAAAGUGGAAUUCCUAGUGUAGCGGUGAAAUGCGUAGAUAUUAGGAGGAAUACCGGUGGCGAAGGCGACUUUCUGGACUUUUACUGACGCUCAGGUACGAAAGCGUGGGGAGCAAACAGG
rnacentral:rRNA from 1 species